UCUGCCAUUUUCUAAAGCAAAAUUAAAACACCCCAUUUACCAACCUAUUUGCCGAAACUGAAAAAAAACAAAGGGGCUUUCACCCUUCUUCCCUCUGCUAGGACCAGUGAACGCGCCCAUCAUCGCCGGACCACCACCAGAUCUAGUGGCCGACAUCGCGCAAUAGGGGUUUCAACCCCGUUUUAAAACACGCGCGGAGAUCGCGAGGAGGUGGUGUGGCGCACGACUCGGAGUUGCGCGACGUGCGGAGCCCGGAUUCAGGCUUGCGGCGCUGGCUUCCCUGAUGCUGGGUUUCUCAUUUCCUUUUUUGUUUUAUUGGUAUUUGGGCUAGGUAUUAUGUGGGCUUGUGUUUUGUUUUGUAUAUUGGGCUGAGAGAUGUGGGUUAGGUUUUGGGUAAUCUGUUGGGCUUUGGGUUUGUUUUAAAUUUGGUCCUACAAAACAAUAACGUAAAAUGUAACAUUCCAAACAUAAGUGACUAAAAAGUAAUCUGAGUCAAAUAAAAA